GUUUUUCACUUUUCAAAAUGACAUUGAAUCUCAUCUGGUCUUGAAAGCUAAGCAGGGUCAGGCCUGGCUAGUGCUUGGAUGGCAGACUGCCUGGGAAUCCUAGAUGCUGUAGGCU
rnacentral:rRNA from 1 species